AUUGAACGCUGGCGGAAUGCUUUACACAUGCAAGUCGAGCGGCAGCGCGGCCUUCGGGCUGGCGGCGAGCGGCGAACGGGUGAGUAAUGCAUCGGAACAUGCCCAGUCGUGGGGGAUAACACUUCGAAAGAAGUGCUAAUACCGCAUACGUCCUGAGGGGGAAAGCGGGGGAUCGCAAGACCUCGCGCGAUUGGAGUGGCCGAUGUCAGAUUAGCUAGUUGGUGGGGUAAAGGCCUACCAAGGCGACGAUCUGUAGCUGGUCUGAGAGGAUGAUCAGCCACACUGGGACUGAGACACGGCCCAGACUCCUACGGGAGGCAGCAGUGGGGAAUUUUGGACAAUGGGGGCAACCCUGAUCCAGCCAUUCCGCGUGAGUGAAGAAGGCCUUCGGGUUGUAAAGCUCUUUCGGCAGGAACGAAACGGUGGGCUCUAACAUAGUCGGCUAAUGACGGUACCUGAAGAAGAAGCACCGGCUAACUACGUG
rnacentral:rRNA from 1 species